GAUGAACGCUAGCGGCAGGCUUAACACAUGCAAGUCGAGGGGCAGCACGGGUAGCAAUACCUGGUGGCGACCGGCGCAAGGGUGCGUAACGCGUGAGCAACAUGCCCUAUACAGGGGGAUAAUCCAGGGAAACUUGGUCUAAUAUCCCAUAGUAUUUAGAGGAGGCAUCUUCUAUAAAUUAAAGCUUCGGUGGUAUAGGAUUGGCUCGCGUGACAUUAGCUAGAUGGUGAGGUAACGGCUCACCAUGGCAAUGAUGUCUAGGGGUUCUGAGAGGAAGGCCCCCCACACUGGGACUGAGACACGGCCCAGACUCCUACGGGAGGCAGCAGUGAGGAAUAUUGGACAAUGGAUGGAAAUCUGAUCCAGCCAUGCCGCGUGCAGGAAGACAGCCCUAUGGGUUGUAAACUGCUUUUAUAUGGGACAAAUAAGGUUUACGCGUAGACCGAUCGAGAGUACCAUAUGAAUAAGCAUCGGCUAAC
rnacentral:rRNA from 1 species